UAUUUAUAACAACAUGUUUACGGUUCAAUUUUGGUGCUGGUUAGUUGGUGUUGGUGUUCAUUCAAGUUUUGUGCGCGAUCACCCUGUGACAAAAACACGACUUGUGCUCGGAGUUUAAUGAGUUUGUUUUAUGUGUAAAAUAUAUAAUUAGUUAUAAAAGUUUUCGCGCCGAGGAAAUUGUUUACGCACCUAGAAUUUUAUUAGGAACUUGUUUACCGGGACAGAGCGGAGUAUAAAAAGACUGGAGCUAUUUAUUUUCCUACCAUUAGAUGAGGGCACAUCCACGGAGUGUAAUAUUGAAGCAAUCCCGACAUUCCUGGAAAAAAUAAACCGAUAAAAAUAUCAAGAUGCAAGCCAAAUUCUUCCUUCUGGUCUUAAUGAUAGCGUUCAGUCACCACAUUGCCUCAUCGCACAUCUUAACGUCGGCGUACAUGGAUAUGUCUUUACCGACAUGUAUGAGAAUACUGUCAUACACACUGAUGAACGAUUUGUGCCCCACAUACGGAGUGUAUUAUGCCGACUACUCUUCCGAUGAAGUCAAUAUGCCGUCAAUGCCCAGGGAGGUGACCCUAAAAAAGUGGGAACAGAGAGAGACUCUGAUAAAAAGAUGUUGCACCAAACCGUGUUCCUUAACAGACUUGUUGUCAGUGUGUUAAAAUGUCCAAAUGGAAUAAUAAAUUAAUGAAUUUAGCGACAAAACGUAUUAAUCACGAGUUAGAAUAAUAUGGUUUAAAUUAUUUUUUUGAAAUCGUGAUGUACCUAUGUUGUUGUAGAAAUUACGUAGUUUGUAUUACACGACGAUCUUACCAAUUAAAUAAUGAUCAAGGACAGUGGAUUACAGAUGUUUUCCAUUAAAGCAGCCUAUUUUUAAACAUAGGCACUGAAUAAUAUUGUAAUCAUACCUAAUUACUUUUAAUUUAAGUAAACAAUGUUACAUACUUACGUCGAAGUCACUAAACGCGACACGUGAGAAAUAUUUUUAAUCUGUAUGCAGAUAUCUGUCAUGUUUGAACUUCGAAUUGUUUUUACUUUUUAAAGCUUUACGAAUUUUGUAGAAGGUAUGGUUGCUAUUUUCUUGUUAAGUUUUUUACCCGUGAAUAUACUGCUUUAAUUUUUUUUAUAUUCUGUGCUUUAAGUUACAUUGCCCACCAAUUAAAUAUUUAUACUUAGCCAAGUAAGAUUAAUUAGUUUAAAUGUUAAUAAAUUUUAGUUUUAACUGUUGCAAAUUAAAUUAUAUUGAAAUUA